AACGAACGCUGGCGGCAUGCCUAACACAUGCAAGUCGAACGGGAUCCUGGUUUCGGCCAGGUGAGAGUGGCGGACGGGUGAGUAACGCGUGGGAACCUGCCCAGUGGUGGGGGAUAACUGCGGGAAACUGCAGCUAAUACCGCAUGAGCCCGCAAGGGGAAAGAUUGAUCGCCAUUGGAGGGGCCCGCGUUCGAUUAGGUAGUUGGUGAGGUAACGGCUCACCAAGCCUACGAUCGAUAGCUGGUCUGAGAGGAUGAUCAGCCACACUGGGACUGAGAUACGGCCCAGACUCCUACGGGAGGCAGCAGUGGGGAAUAUUGGACAAUGGGGGCAACCCUGAUCCAGCAAUGCCGCGUGAGUGAUGAAGGCCUU
rnacentral:rRNA from 1 species